UACCGAAGGUGCGAGCGUUAAUCGGAAUUACUGGGCGUAAAGGGUGCGUAGGUGGUUUUGUAAGUUAGGUGUGAAAGUCCCGGGCUUAACCUGGGGAUUGCGCCUAAUACUGCAAAGCUAGAGUACUGUAGAGGAAAGUGGAAUUUCCAGUGUAGCAGUGAAAUGCGUAGAUAUUGGAAGGAACAUCAGUGGCGAAGGCGACUUUCUGGACAGAUACUGACACUGAGGCACGAAAGCGUGGGGAGCAAACAGG
rnacentral:rRNA from 1 species